rnacentral:tRNA from 1 species
UUUCUGGUGGUCCAGUGGUUAAGAUUCUGCACUUCCAAUGCAGGGGGUAUGAGUUCGAACCCUGGUCGGAGAA